rnacentral:rRNA from 1 species
UGGGGGAUAUUGCACAAUGGGGGAAACCCUGAUGCAGCAACGCCGCGUGAACGAAGAAGGCCUUCGGGUUGUAAAGUUCUGUUCUUAGUGAAGAAGCAUGACGGUAGCUAAGGAGAAAGCUCCGGCUAACUACGUGCCAGCAGCCGCGGUAAUACGUAGGGAGCGAGCGUUGUCCGGAUUUACUGGGUGUAAAGGGUGCGCAGGCGGCCAGGCAAGUCAGGCGUGAAAACUGUGGGCUUAACCCGCAGACUGCGUUUGAAACUGCAUGGCUUGAGUGAAGUAGAGGCAGGCGGAAUUCCCGGUGUAGCGGUGAAAUGCGUAGAGAUCGGGAGGAACACCAGUGGCGAAGGCGGCCUGCUGGGCUUUAACUGACGCUCAGGCACGAAAGCAUGGGUAGCAAACA